CAAUGGGCGCAAGCCUGAUGCAGCCAUGCCGCGUGUGUGAAGAAGGCCUUCGGGUUGUAAAGCACUUUCAGCGGGGAGGAAGGCNNUGAGGUUAAUACCCUCAANNAUUGACGUUACNCGCAGAAGAAGCACCGGCUAACUCCGUGCCAGCAGCCGCGGUAAUACGGAGGGUGCAAGCGUUAAUCGGAAUUACUGGGCGUAAAGCGCGCGCAGGCGGUUUGUUAAGUCGGAUGUGAAAUCCCCGGGCUCAACCUGGGAACUGCAUUCGAAACUGGCAAGCUAGAGUCUGGUAGAGGGGGGUGGAAUUCCAGGUGUAGCGGUGAAAUGCGUAGAGAUCUGGAGGAACACCGGUGGCGAAGGCGGCCCCCUGGACAAAGACUGACGCUCAGGUGCGAAAGCAUGGGGAGC
rnacentral:rRNA from 1 species